rnacentral:tRNA from 1 species
UUAGCACAAUGGUUAAGCACUUGGCUGCUAACCAAAAGAUUGGUGGUUUGAACCCACCA